GUAGGUGGCAAGCGUUGUCCGGAAUUAUUGGGCGUAAAGCGCGCGCAGGCGGUUCGUUUAAGUCUGAUGUGAAAGCCCACGGGCUCAACCGUGGAGGGUCAUUGGAAACUGGAGAACUUGAGUACAGAAGAGGAAAGCGGAAUUCCACGUGUAGCGGUGAAAUGCGUAGAGAUGUGGAGGAACACCAGUGGCGAAGGCGGCUUUCUGGUCUGUAACUGACGCUGAGGCGCGAAAGCGUGGGGAGCAAACAGGAUUAGAUACCCCUGGUAGUCCACGCCGUAAACGAUGAGUGCUAAGUGUUAGGGGGGUUUCCGCCCCUUAGUGCUGCAGCUAACGCAUUAAGCACUCCGCCUGGGGAGUACGGCCGCAAGGCUG
rnacentral:rRNA from 1 species